AAAGCAUCUUAACAGGUUUUGGCCUCAGUGCAGUAGGCAAGGAUUUGGUAGCUGGUGCUGAAACAAAUUCUCUCCCUGUAACGAACACCACUGACUGCUGUGCCUGUUGGCGACCCUUAUAGAAAGAGACAUCU
rnacentral:snoRNA from 1 species